AUUUAUUUUUGUCUAUAAUAGAAAGGACCUUCAGAGACAAUGUUAUGUUGUAUAAGUUAAAUUGUCACAGUCUUUGCAUCUAUUCUUAAGUCUACCAUCACUUCAUUUCAUGUCCUCAUGAAUGCCCUUCCAUAAUAUUGUUAUAGCAUUCCAGUUGGCCUUUCCAUAUUCAGUAUUUUUUCUUUCUAAGUUCUGCACUAAUCUUCUUGAAACCUUGAUGCCAUCCUUUUGCUCCUCAUUCAAAAACGUUCCAUGGUUUUUCUUUGCCUUUUGCAUUAAGCCAAACUCUUCAGCCUUACAUUAAAGCCCAUUAUUACUAUUGUUACUGACAAUCCAAACAAAAUUGGAAUAAAUAUAUUUUCCUAAAUUUCCCACCUCUGUGCCUUUUCUCAUUCUGUUUCCUUCACCUAGAAAUCUCUCUAAUUGCUAGAAAAAAAACUAUUCAUCUAUCAAUGUCUCUCUCAAAUGCUAUUAUCUUUUUGUUGCCCUAUAGUUCUUAGGACCAUAGGAUGAAAUGUUGCUCUAGGAUGAUAAGACUGAGAACUCAAAAGAGCCAAAGAAAUCAUUCAGUCCCAAGUUUUCAUUUUUAAUUUUGAGGAAAUAAGAUCUGAAGCACUAUGCCUUGACAAAAGUCACAAAAAGAAUAAUCAACAGACACAGGAUAAAAUCCCUGUGGGGUAUGAAUUAAUUUGGUGGAGGGACUACCAAUACCACAGAAAGUUUCAAAGUAUAGAGCUGUAUAUACUUAUAAACAGAGGCUUGCCUCAUAAGUAAAACUGUUUCCAUGGAAACUGGGUGAUCCAGAUAUGGGUCUGGGAGUUGGCCAGACUCUCCAGAAUUCCCUAGACCACAGCAGUCUUGUUCUUGAACUUGAAGAGUUCAGGGGAGAGAAGCAAGAGUGCUAUGGGAGAGAAAACAUGAUGCCGUGCUGAUGAAAGUCAUUAAAUGUGUGGAGGAAGAGGGAAGAGAAGCAAAGUGUCUUUGACUGAUGCCAUCUAUCAACUAGUAGAAACUGAGAGAUGACCAAAGUAAAAAACAGAACAAGAAAAUGGAGACUACAGAGCAAGAGCUAAUCCGGAUGUUACUGGCCUCACGUUUUUAUCUCAAGGGAGCUCCCAAACUAAUCAAGGGGACAACAUUGAAACUACUCUGCAUAUAUGAAGAAAAAUUGAUGCAAGAAGAUGUUGUUACUUGCUCAGAGUCACACAUCUAGCCUGAGGAAGACUGUAAUCAUGUUUCUUUAGUCAAAACAAGCAAUUUAUAUACCAUGUGGACAACA